GUACCGGUACAGAGUCAGUGUGGAGGCUAUAUACAGGGGGUACCGGUACAGAGUCAGUGUGGAGGCUAUAUACAGGGGGUACCGGUACAGAGUCAAUGUGGAGGCUAUAUACAGGGGGUACCGGUACAGAGUCAGUGUGGAGGCUAUAUACAGGGGGUACCAGUACAGAGUCAGUGUGGAGGCUAUAUACAGGGGGUACCGGUACAGAGUCAAUGUGGAGGCUAUAUACAGGGGGUACUGGUACAGAGUCAAUGUGGAGGAUAUAUACAGGGGGUACUGGUACAGAGUCAAUGUGGAGGCUAUAUACAGGGUGUCAGGUACAGAGUCAGUGUGGAGGCUAUAUACAGGGUGUUACGGUACAGAGUCAAUGUGGAGGCUAUAUACAGGGGGCACCGGUACUGAGUCAGUGUGGAGGCUAUAUACAGGGUGUUACGGUACAGAGUCAAUGUGGAGGCUAUAUACAGGGGGUACCGGUACAGAGUCAGUGUGGAGGCUAUAUACAGGGGGUACCGGUACAGAGUCAGUGUGGAGGCUAUAUACAGGGGUUACUGGUACAGAGUCAGUGUGGAGGCUAUAUACAGGGGUUACUGGUACAGAGUCAAUGUGGAGGCUAUAUACAGGGGUUACUGGUACAGAGUCAGUGUGGAGGCUAUAUACAGGAGGUACCGGUACAGAGUCAAUGUGGAGGCUAUAUACAGGGGGUACCGGUACAGAGUCAGUGUGGAGGCUAUAUACAGGGUGUUAUGGUACAGAGUCAGUGUGGAGGCUAUAUACAGGGGGUACCGGUACAGAGUCAGUGUGGAGGCUAUAUACAGGGGGUACCGGUACAGAGUCAGUGUGGAGGCUAUAUACAGGGGGUACCGGUACCGAGUCAGUGUGUGUGGGGGUACAGGUUAGUUGAGGUAAUUUGAACAUGUAGGUGGGGGUGAAGUGACUAUGCAACAUGUGAGCAAGCUGACUAUGAUGAGCCUUUGAGUAAUGCCCUGAAGAAGCUGGAAGUGACAUUUUUCAACGUCGUUGUUGAUGCUGCAACCUCAGCCCUUCAGGAAAGAUUUUCCACAUUGGAAAAUGUGGGAGAGAAGUUUGGAGUGCUGUCAACCUUCCAAAGUCUCUCAGAUGAGGAGCUGACAGAACAAUGUGAGGCCCUUAGUGUGACACUGCACUAUAAAGAACACUCAGACUUGGAUGGCAGAGAGCUUGCACAGGAACUGAAGAACUUGUCUGACUUGUCAUCGAAGACCAUGACCCUGCUUGAGCUGCUGCUAUUUAUACAUGAAAGGGAGCUCUCAGAAAUGUAUCCAGAUUUGUGGACUGCUCUCAGAAUUUGUCUUACUCUUCCAGUGAACCCUAGCUGAAGCAGAGAGGAGCUUUUCAUAGCUGAAGCUCAUCAAAUCCUACCUGUCCACCAUGUCACAGGAACACCUUAGUGGCCUUGCUGUCAUCAGUAUUAACCAUACAGUUGCUGGGCAGAUUUCUUAUGAUGAUGUAAUUGAUGACUUUGCAUCAAGGAAGGUCAGGGUUUAGAUGGCAGUUGUGCAAUUUAGUUUGUGUUUCUUGUUUCAAUAGUGCAAUAGUG
rnacentral:lncRNA from 1 species